AUUGAACGCUGGCGGCAUGCCUAACACAUGCAAGUCGAACGGUAACAGGUCUUCGGAUGCUGACGAGUGGCGAACGGGUGAGUAAUACAUCGGAACGUGCCUAGUAGUGGGGGAUAACUACUCGAAAGAGUGGCUAAUACCGCAUGAGAUCUACGGAUGAAAGCAGGGGAUCGCAAGACCUUGUGCUACUAGAGCGGCCGAUGGCAGAUUAGGUAGUUGGUGGGAUAAAAGCUUACCAAGCCGACGAUCUGUAGCUGGUCUGAGAGGACGAUCAGCCACACUGGGACUGGGACCCGGCCCAGACUCCUACGGGAGGCAGCAGUGGGGAAUUUUGGACAAUGGGCGAAAGCCUGAUCCAGCAAUGCCGCGUGCAGGAUGAAGGCCUUCGGGUUGUAAACUGCUUUUGUACGGAACGAAAAGCCCCGGGUUAAUACCCUGGGGUCAUGACGGUACCGUAAGAAUAAGCACCGGCUAACUACGUGCCAGCAGCCGCAGUAA
rnacentral:rRNA from 1 species